rnacentral:rRNA from 1 species
UACGUAGGGCGCGAGCGUUGUCCGGAAUUAUUGGGCGUAAAGAGCUCGUAGGCGGCUUGUCACGUCGGGUGUGAAAGCCCGGGGCUUAACCCCGGGUCUGCAUUCGAUACGGGCUAGCUAGAGUGUGGUAGGGGAGAUCGGAAUUCCUGGUGUAGCGGUGAAAUGCGUAGAUAUCUGGAGGAACACCGGUGGCGAAGGCGGCAUCCUGGACCAACACUGACGCUGAGGAGCGAAAGCCAGGGGAGCAAACGGG